GCUCUCGGGACAGUCUCCUGCAGCCAUUCUCGUCUCCUUAUCACUUUUCCAGCCCAGCUGUCUCACUGCAGGUGUUGGACGGAGAACUGAUAAGGGAACGGGACUGA
rnacentral:miRNA from 1 species